rnacentral:rRNA from 1 species
UAAGGAAUAUUGGUCAAUGGACGCAAGUCUGAACCAGCCAUGCCGCGUGAAGGAUGAAGGUCCUCUGGAUUGUAAACUUCUUUUAUCUGGGACGAAAACGGGAUUUUUAUCUCAAUUGACGGUACCAGAGGAAUAAGCACCGGCUAACUCCGUGCCAGCAGCCGCGGUAAUCCGGAGGGUGAGAGCGUUAUCCGGAUUUACUGGGUUUAAAGGGUGCGUAGGUGGGCUUAUAAGUCAGUGGUGAAAUCUCCGAGCUUAACUUGGAAACUGCCGUUGAUACUAUAGGUCUUGAAUUAUCUGGAGGUAAGCGGAAUAUGUCAUGUAGCGGUGAAAUGCUUAGAUAUGACAUAGAACACCAAUUGCGAAGGCAGCUUACUACAUAUAAAUUGACGCUGAGGCACGAAAGCGUGGGGAUCAAACA